rnacentral:rRNA from 1 species
CAGUCGCCGCGGUAAUACGAAGGGGGCUAGCGUUGUUCGGAAUUACUGGGCGUAAAGCGCACGUAGGCGGACAUUUAAGUCAGGGGUGAAAUCCCGGGGCUCAACCCCGGAACUGCCUUUGAUACUGGGUGUCUAGAGUAUGGAAGAGGUGAGUGGAAUUCCGAGUGUAGAGGUGAAAUUCGUAGAUAUUCGGAGGAACACCAGUGGCGAAGGCGGCUCACUGGUCCAUUACUGACGCUGAGGUGCGAAAGCGUGGGGAGCAAACAGGAUUAGAUACCCCUGUAGUCCCUGUCUCUUAUAC